GAUCCUGGCUCAGGAUGAACGCUGGCGGCGUGCUUAACACAUGCAAGUCGAACGAUUAAGACGGCUUCGGCCGUGUAUAGAGUGGCGAACGGGUGAGUAACACGUGACCAACCUGCCCCCGCGCUCCGGGACAACCGCUGGAAACGGCGGCUAAUACCGGAUGCUCCGGGGAGGCCCCCAUGGCCUCCCCGGGAAAGCCCCGACGGCGCGGGAUGGGUCGCGGCCCAUUAGGUAGACGGCGGGGUAACGGCCAACCGUGCCCGCGAUGGGUAG
rnacentral:rRNA from 1 species